rnacentral:rRNA from 1 species
GUAGCAAUACAGAUUGAUGGCGACCGGCGCACGGGUGAGUAACGCGUAUGCAACUUACCUAUCAGAGGGGGAUAGCCCGGCGAAAGUCGGAUUAAUACCCCAUAAAACAGGGGUCCCGCAUGGGAAUAUUUGUUAAAGAUUCAUCGCUGAUAGAUAGGCAUGCGUUCCAUUAGGCAGUUGGCGGGGUAACGGCCCACCAAACCGACGAUGGAUAGGGGUUCUGAGAGGAAGGUCCCCCACAUUGGUACUGAGACACGGACCAAACUCCUACGGGAGGCAGCAGUGAGGAAUAUUGGUCAAUGGCCGAGAGGCUGAACCAGCCAAGUCGCGUGAAGGAAGAAGGAUCUAUGGUUUGUAAACUUCUUUUAUAGGGGAAUAAAGUGGAGGACGUGUCCUUUUUUGUAUGUACCCUAUGAAUAAGCAUCGGCUAACUCCGUGCCAGCAGCCGCGGUAAUACGGAGGAUGCGAGCGUUAUCCGGAUUUAUUGGGUUUAAAGGGUGCGUAGGUGGUGAUUUAAGUCAGCGGUGAAAGUUUGUGGCUCAACCAUAAAAUUGCCGUUGAAACUGGGUUACUUGAGUGUGUUUGAGGUAGGCGGAAUGCGUGGUGUAGCGGUGAAAUGCAUAGAUAUCACGCAGAACUCCGAUUGCGAAGGCAGCUUACUAAACCAUAACU